UACGUAGGUGGCUAGCGUUGUCCGGAUUUACUGGGCGUAAAGAGCGCGCAGGCGGUCGUUCAAGUCGAAUGUGAAAGCCCCCGGCUCAACUGGGGAGGGUCAUUCGAUACUGUUCGACUCGAAGGCAGGAGAGGGAAGUGGAAUUCCGGGUGUAGUGGUGAAAUGCGUAGAUAUCCGGAGGAACACCAGUGGCGAAGGCGACUUUCUGGCCUGUUCUUGACGCUGAGGCGCGAAAGCUAGGGGAGCAAACGGG
rnacentral:rRNA from 1 species